AACGAACGCUGGCGGCAGGCUUAACACAUGCAAGUGGAACGCAUCCCUCGGGGCGAGUGGCAGACGGGUGAGUAACGCGUGGGAACGUGCCCUUCAGUUUGGGAUAACCCAGGGAAACUUGGGCUAAUACUGGAUACGUGCGAGAGCAGAAAGAUUUAUCGCUGGAGGAUCGGCCCGCGUCUGAUUAGCUAGUUGGUGGGGUAAUGGCCCACCAAGGCGACGAUCGGUAGCUGGUCUGAGAGGAUGAUCAGCCACAUUGGGACUGAGACACGGCCCAAACUCCUACGGGAGGCAGCAGUGGGGAAUAUUGGACAAUGGGCGCAAGCCUGAUCCAGCCAUGCCGCGUGAGUGAUGAAGGCCUUAGGGUUGUAAAGCUCUUUCGUCCGGGACGAUAAUGACGGUACCGGAAGAAGAAGCCCCGGCUAACUUCGUGCCAGCAGCCGCGGUAA
rnacentral:rRNA from 1 species